GACGAACGCUGGCGGCGUGCUUAACACAUGCAAGUCGAACGGAAAGGCCCUGCUUUUGUGGGGUGCUCGAGUGGCGAACGGGUGAGUAACACGUGAGUAACCUGCCCUUGACUUUGGGAUAACUUCAGGAAACUGGGGCUAAUACCGGAUAUGAGCUCCUGCUGCAUGGUGGGGGUUGGAAAGUUUCGGCGGUUGGGGAUGGACUCGCGGCUUAUCAGCUUGUUGGUGGGGUAGUGGCUUACCAAGGCUUUGACGGGUAGCCGGCCUGAGAGGGUGACCGGCCACAUUGGGACUGAGAUACGGCCCAGACUCCUACGGGAGGCAGCAGUGGGGAAUAUUGCACAAUGGGCGGAAGCCUGAUGCAGAAACGCCGCGUGCGGGAUGACGGCCUUAGGGUUGUAAACCGCUUUCGCCUGUGACGAAGCGUGAGUGACGGUAAUGGGUAAAGAAGCACCGGCUAACUACGUG
rnacentral:rRNA from 1 species